UACGUAGGGCGCAAGCGUUUAUCCGGAAUUAUUGGGCGUAAAGAGCUCGUAGGCGGUUUGUCGCGUCUGCCGUGAAAGUCCGGGGCUCAACUCCGGAUCUGCGGUGGGUACGGGCAGACUAGAGUGAUGUAGGGGAGACUGGAAUUCCUGGUGUAGCGGUGAAAUGCGCAGAUAUCAGGAGGAACACCAAUAGCGAAGGCAGCUCGCUGGGACGGUACUGACGCUAAGGCGCGAAAGCGUGGGGGAGCGAACAGG
rnacentral:rRNA from 1 species